rnacentral:rRNA from 1 species
GCAUUCAGUUGCCAUCGGGUAAUGCCGGGCGACUCUGGAAGGACUGCCAUCGACAAGAUGGAGGAAGGUGGGGAUGACGUCAAGUCAUCAUGGCCCUUAUGUCCAGGGCGACACACGUGCUACAAUGGCCGGCACAACGGGAAGCGAGUUCGCGAGGACGAGCGGAUCCCUCAAAGCCGGUCGCAGUUCGGAUUGAAGUCUGCAACCCGACUUCAUGAAGCUGGAAUCGCUAGUAAUCGUGGAUCAGCCAAGCCGCGGUGAAUACGUUCCCGGGCCUU